UACGUAGGGUGCGAGCGUUGUCCGGAAUUAUUGGGCGUAAAGAGCUCGUAGGCGGUGUGUCCACGUCGGCCGUGAAAACCUGCAGCUUAACUGUGGGCGUGCGGUCGAUACGGGCAUCACUGGAGUUCGGCAGGGGAGACUGGAAUUCCUGGUGUAGCGGUGGAAUGCGCAGAUAUCAGGAGGAACACCGGUGGCGAAGGCGGGUCUCUGGGCCGAUACUGACGCUGAGGAGCGAAAGCGUGGGGAGCAAACAAG
rnacentral:rRNA from 1 species